AUUGAACGCUGGCGGCAUGCCUUACACAUGCAAGUCGAACGGCAGCACGGGAGCAAUCCUGGUGGCGAGUGGCGAACGGGUGAGUAAUAUAUCGGAACGUGCCCAGUCGUGGGGGAUAACGCAGCGAAAGCUGUGCUAAUACCGCAUACGAUCUAUGGAUGAAAGCGGGGGAUCGCAAGACCUCGCGCGAUUGGAGCGGCCGAUAUCAGAUUAGCUAGUUGGUGAGGUAAAGGCUCACCAAGGCGACGAUCUGUAGCUGGUCUGAGAGGACGACCAGCCACACUGGAACUGAGACACGGUCCAGACUCCUACGGGAGGCAGCAGUGGGGAAUUUUGGACAAUGGGCGCAAGCCUGAUCCAGCAAUGCCGCGUGCAGGAUGAAGGCCUC
rnacentral:rRNA from 1 species